rnacentral:rRNA from 1 species
UACGGAGGGUGCAAGCGUUUAAUCGGAAUUACUGGGCGUAAAGCGUGCGUAGGCGGUUCGUUAAGUCUGUUGUGAAAGCCCCGGGCUCAACCUGGGAAUGGCAAUGGAUACUGGCGAGCUAGAGUGUGUCAGAGGAUGGUGGAAUUCCCGGUGUAGCGGUGAAAUGCGUAGAGAUCGGGAGGAACAUCAGUGGCGAAGGCGGCCAUCUGGGACACACUGACGCUGAGGCACGAAAGCGUGGGGAGCGAACAGG